UCGUGGUUGAUACAUCGUGGUCUUGGCUGGAGUCCAAACUAUGGCAGCCAUUCGUUUUUUGAAUUUUCCGAAGGAAUUGUGAAUGAGUUACAGUUGUUUGUUUUGCUGAAAUUGGACGCUAAAACUGUCCCGGAUCUAUGCAGUAACCAAGUCCAGUCAAGCCACGAUGUAGGUGAUCGGACUCAACCAAAAUUUACCUAUUUGGACGAUUAUUUUCGAUCAUUUGAGCACACUCAAGUACAAACUCCGACUCAAAUCAAUCAAAACUGGAGCAAUUGGACAUCACCUGAAAAAAUUCACAUUCUGCUAAUUUUCGGAAUAACAUGGAGUUGACGAAAUUCAAAAGGACAUAUUUACACUAAUUUAACAGGAUAAGAUCCAUUUCCAACCAGGAUAAUAUACCGAGACUAUAGACGAGCAAGGAAGCAGGACUAAGCCAAAAACACCCAAUUUGACAAAUACCUACAGAUUGAACACAAUCCU